UCUGACGUACUCUGAAGAACUGGGCUCUA
rnacentral:piRNA from 1 species